UAUACAAAAGUAAAAUUCCUGUAAAGUUUUUUUAAAAAAAGUGGAUUUAGGGAGGACUAAAUCCACUUCUGCUCCCUAAGCCCCUCCAGAAGCGGGAACGCCCACAGCGGCGCAAAACAGCUACACCACGGAAAAAGAAGGCGUAGCCCAUAGGCGCUCAUGGAACAGCGAAAAACUGGCCCCCUUUCCGAGCGCUCAGCCCCGCCUCCAUGGCCCAAAGGAGCAUAGGAUGAGAACUAUCCCGGGGACCAAUCAGCGUGCACGCCCGGCGUGGACGAGCCCCCCUCUCCGCACCCAAUCACCUGCGACCGCGCCCUACAAAACAUCCGGCCAGUGCCGGCCAAAACCCUCAGGUACCCUGACUCUGGUAUUCCCGCCUGGUGUUGACUGACGGAGCGCUGACAGGCACGUCCAGGGCAAGGCUGCUCCCCCGCGUCCCGCCCUCCCCAAACAUCUCUGACGGAGGGUUGGCUGCAGCCCAGGAAGCACUUUCGCGCCGCGGCCUGCAUCUCAGCCCCGCCCCACCGAGCAGGAAGGAGGGCUGUGAAGAAUUCCCCGGCUCCCUUGCUAGCCUAAAAACAAGCCCACUUGUUC